UGGGGAAUUUUGGACAAUGGGCGAAAGCCUGAUCCAGCAAUGCCGCGUGUGUGAAGAAGGCCUUCGGGUUGUAAAGCACUUUUGUCCGGAAAGAAAUCCUUGGCUCUAAUACAGUCGGGGGAUGACGGUACCGGAAGAAUAAGCACCGGCUAACUACGUGCCAGCAGCCGCGGUAAUACGUAGGGUGCAAGCGUUAAUCGGAAUUACUGGGCGUAAAGCGUGCGCAGGCGGUUUGCUAAGACCGAUGUGAAAUCCCCGGGCGUCAACCUGGGAACUGCAUUGGUGACUGGCAGGCUAGAGUAUGGCAGAGGGGGGUAGAAUUCCACGUGUAGCAGUGAAAUGCGUAGAGAUGUGGAGGAAUACCGAUGGCGAAGGCAGCCCCCUGGGCCAAUACUGACGCUCAUGCACGAAAAGCGUGGGGAGCAAACAGGAUUAGAUACCCUGGUAGUCCACGCCCUAAAACGAUGUCAACUAGUUGUUGGGGAUUCAUUUCCUUAGUAACGUAGCUAACGCGUGAAGUUGACCGCCUGGGGAGUACGGUCGCAAGAUUAAAACUUAAAUGAAUUGACGGGGUCAUAGCUGUUUCCU
rnacentral:rRNA from 1 species